GUGGCUAUGGUGUAAUGGCAACACAGCUCUCUGUGGAAGAGCCGUUGCCGGUUCGAAUCCGGCUAGCCACCCA
rnacentral:tRNA from 1 species